GAUGAACGCUGGCGGCGUGCCUAAUACAUGCAAGUCGAGCGAACGGACGAUAAGCUUGCUUCUCUGUUGUUAGCGGCGGACGGGUGAGGAACACGUGGAUAACCUACCUAUAAGAGUGGGAUAACCUCGGGAAACCGUAGCUAAUCCCGGAUAAUAUUUUGAACCGCAUGGUUCAAAAGUGAAAGACGGUCUUUCUGUCACUUAUAGAUGGAUCCGCGCUUCAUUAGAUAGUUGGUAAGGUAACGGGUUACCAAGGAAACGAUGCAUAGCCGACGGGAGAGGGUGAUCGGCGACACGGGAAGUGAGACACGGUCCAGACUCCUGCGGGAGGCAGCAGUAGGGAAUGUGCCGCAGUGGGCGAAAGCCUGACGGAGCAACGGCGCGUGAGUGAUGGAGGUCUUCGGAUCGUAAAACUCUGUUAUUAGGGAAGAACAUAUGUGGAAGUAACUGUGCACAUCUUGACGGUACCUAAUCAGAAAGCCACGGCUAACUACGUG
rnacentral:rRNA from 1 species